rnacentral:rRNA from 1 species
AGUCGAGCGGCAGCACGGGUACUUGUACCUGGUGGCGAGCGGCGGAGGGAGAGUAAUACCUAGGAAUCUGCCUGGUAGUGGGGGAUAAGUUCGGAAACGGACGCUAAUACCGCAUACGUCCUACGGGAGAAAGCAGGGGACCUUCGGGCCUUGCGCUAUCAGAUGCCCCUAGGUCGGAUUAGCUUGUUGGUGAGGUAAUGGCUCACCAAGGCUACGAUCCGUAACUGGUCUGAGAGGAUGAUCAGUCACACUGGAACUGAGACACGGUCCAGACUCCUACGGGAGGCAGCAGUGGGGAAUAUUGGACAAUGGGCGAAAGCCUGAUCCAGCCAUGCCGCGUGUGUGAAGAAGGUCUUCGGAUUGUAAAGCACUUUAAGUUGGGAGGAAGGGCAGUUACCUAAUACGUAAUUGUUUUGACGUUACCGACAGAAUAAGCACCGGCUAACUCUGUGCCAGCAGCCGCGGUAAUACAGAGGGUGCAAGCGUUAAUCGGAAUUACUGGGCGUAAAGCGCGCGUAGGUGGUUCGUUAAGUUGGAUGUGAAAUCCCCGGGCUCAACCUGGGAACUGCAUUCAAAACUGACGGGCUAGAGUAUGGUAGAGGGUGGUGGAAUUUCCUGUGUAGCGGUGAAAUGCGUAGAUAUAGGAAGGAACACCAGUGGCGAAGGCGACCACCUGGACUGAUACUGACACUGAGGUGCGAAAGCGUGGGGAGCAAA